GGGGGAAUAUUGGACAAUGGGCGCAAGCCUGAUCCAGCCAUGCCGCGUGAGUGAUGAAGGCCCUAGGGUUGUAAAGCUCUUUUGUGCGGGAAGAUAAUGACGGUACCGCAAGAAUAAGCGCCGGCUAACUACGUGCCAGCAGCCGCGGUAACACGUAGGGCGCAAGCGUUGUCCGGAAUUAUUGGGCGUAAAGAGCUCGUAGGCGGUCUGUUGCGUCCGCUGUGAAAACUCGGGGCUUAACCCCGAGCCUGCAGUGGAUACGGGCAGACUAGAGGUAGGUAGGGGAGAAUGGAAUUCCCGGUGUAGCGGUGAAAUGCGCAGAUAUCGGGAGGAACACCGGUGGCGAAGGCGGUUCUCUGGGCCUUACCUGACGCUGAGGAGCGAAAGCGUGGGGAGCAAACAGGAUUAGAUACCCUGGUAGUCCACGCUGUAAACGUUGGGCGCUAGGUGUGGGAUCCUUCCACGGAUUCCGUGCCGCAGCUAACGCAUUAAGCGCCCCGCCUGGGGAGUACGGCCGCAAGGCUA
rnacentral:rRNA from 1 species